rnacentral:tRNA from 1 species
CGUUUUAGAAACAUCAGUGGCCAACAGAUCGCCAGAUCGUUGAGCUGCAUUGGCGGGAUUUCGCCGUCUUCGUUUCUCUUUCUUCGCGGACGAACACGCGCUGGGCCUGCAACGGCAGGAUCCAGGGUCCUUAACGGGAUGUGCGUUAGGGGCUUGUAGCUCAGUUGGUUAGAGCGCGCGCUUGAUAAGCGUGAGGUCGGAAGUUCAAGUCUUCCCAGGCCCACCACUUUCAUCGAGUGUGCAUUCGUCUUCUGGUUACGGGGCCAUAGCUCAGCUGGGAGAGCGCGUGCUUUGCAAGCAUGAGGUCGUCGGUUCGAUCCCGUCUGGCUCCACCAGAUGGUUUGAUCACCGAGAUCUUGUACCGUCGUCCGCGAAACAUCACUUCGCAUCCUGCUAGUCUGGAUAGACAGCAAGAUGCGUGUUUUCUGACAUCGUAAAGAGGAGAUCGAUCCGAGUUGGGUCGUGUAGCAGAUUGCUGCGCGAGCCUUCAUUAUCUCCGGAUCAUUUUCGGCGCUCGCGUCCGACCGCAAGGUUGGCUGCGAGUUGUAAAAUGAUCCUUUUAGCGAAGCUUGACCGCCUCGCUAUCGGAACGAUCUUACGAAGCAAGCUGGUCUUUCUAGUCAAUGUCCGGCUGUACGUAGCGUUCAUCGAGGGCGCGCGCCGCAAGGCAAUCGUACAGACAACAUUCUGCCGAGUGUGUGGACAUUGAUAAUGAGAGCAAUCAAGUGCCUUAAGGGUGUUCGGUG